UCCCCCUGACAAUGGGCAAAGAAACACUUUGUUGGUGGUUGUGUUCUACAUCAGUCAGGGGCAGAGCAGAUGGCCGUCCUUUGUUCACCCUAGCUUGAUGCCUGGCUUGGUGGCCAAAGCUAUUUUAUGCCUAGGACUCAUAG